UACGUAGGGUGCAAGCGUUAAUCGGAAUUACUGGGCGUAAAGCGUGCGCAGGCGGCCAUGCAAGACAGAUGUGAAAUCCCUGGGCUUAACCUAGGAACUGCAUUUGUGACUGCAUGGCUAGAGUACGGUAGAGGGGGAUGGAAUUCCGCGUGUAGCAGUGAAAUGCGUAGAUAUGCGGAGGAACACCGAUGGCGAAGGCAAUCCCCUGGACCUGUACUGACGCUCAUGCACGAAAGCGUGGGGAGCAAACAGG
rnacentral:rRNA from 1 species